rnacentral:rRNA from 1 species
UGAGGAAUAUUGGUCAAUGGGCGUAAGCCUGAACCAGCCAAGUCGCGUGAAGGAUGACUGCCCUAUGGGUUGUAAACUUCUUUUGUAAGGGGAGAAUAAAUUCUACGUGUAGGAUGAUGACAGUACCUUACGAAUAAGCAUCGGCUAACUCCGUGCCAGCAGCCGCGGUAAUACGGAGGGUGCAAGCGUUGUCCGGAUUUACUGGGUGUAAAGGGAGCGUAGGCGGGGUUGUAAGUUGGAUGUGAAAUGUACCGGCUCAACUGGUGAACUGCAUUCAAAACUGUGACUCUUGAGUGAAGUAGAGGCAGGCGGAAUUCCUAGUGUAGCGGUGAAAUGCGUAGAUAUUAGGAGGAACACCAGUGGCGAAGGCGGCUUACUGGACGAUAACUGACGUUGAGGCUCGAAAGCGUGGGGAGCAAACA